AAGGGAAGUCAUCCAGGGCAGCACACAAUGACCUCAAGGUUCUUGAUGAGACUAGAUGAUAAACAGCUCAUUUUGUUUCCAAUUCAUUUACUUUUGAACUUUUUAUUUUAAUUCUUCAAUAUUU